UACGACGGGGGCUAGCGUUGCUCGGAAUCACUGGGCGUAAAGGGUGCGUAGGCGGGUCUUUAAGUCAGGGGUGAAAUCCUGGAGCUCAACUCCAGAACUGCCUUUGAUACUGGAGAGCUUGAGUCCGGGAGAGGUGAGUGGAACUGCGAGUGUAGAGGUGAAAUUCGUAGAUAUUCGCGAGAACACCAGUGGCGAAGGCGGCUCACUGGCCCGGUACUGACGCUGAGGUGCGAAAGCGUGGGGAGCAAACAGG
rnacentral:rRNA from 1 species